rnacentral:rRNA from 1 species
AUUGAACGCUGGCGGCAUGCUUUACACAUGCAAGUCGAACGGUAACAGGCCUUCGGGUGCUGACGAGUGGCGAACGGGUGAGUAAUGCAUCGGAACGUGCCCAGAGGUGGGGGAUAACGCAGCGAAAGCUGUGCUAAUACCGCAUGUGAUCUGAGGAUGAAAGCGGGGGACCAGGCAGCAAUGUUUGGCCUCGCGCCUUUGGAGCGGCCGAUGUCAGAUUAGGUAGUUGGUGGGGUAAAGGCCUACCAAGCCGACGAUCUGUAGCUGGUCUGAGAGGACGACCAGCCACACUGGGACUGAGACACGGCCCAGACUCCUACGGGAGGCAGCAGUGGGGAAUGUUGGACAAUGGGCGCAAGCCUGAUCCAGCAAUGCCGCGUGCGAGAAGAAGGCCUUCGGGUUGUAAACCGCUUUUGUACGGAACGAAAAGGCUCUGGCUAAUACCUGGGGCUGAUGACGGUACCGUAAGAAUAAGCACCGGCUAACUACGUG